rnacentral:misc_RNA from 1 species
CAACCCUCAAGCUCAGCUUGGUGUUGGGACUCGCGGUAACCCGCGUUCCCCAAAUCGAUUGGCGGUCACGUCGAGCUUCCAUAGCGUAGUAAUCAUACACCUCGUUACUGGUAAUCGUCGCGGCCACGCCGUAAAACCCCCGACUUUCUGAA